GGUGGUACCGGUGGAUCACGUGGCUAGUGUGUCGAUGAAGAGCGCAGCCAACUGUGUGAAUUAAUGUGAACUGCAUACUGCUUUGAACAUCGACAUCUUGAACGC
rnacentral:rRNA from 1 species